rnacentral:rRNA from 1 species
CCUACGGGGGGCAGCAGUGGGGAAUAUUGGACAAUGGGGGCAACCCUGAUCCAGUCAUGCCGCGUGUGUGAAGAAGGCCCUCGGGUUGUAAAGCACUUUCAGUGAGGAAGAACGCCUGGUGGUUAAUACCCAUCAGGAAAGACAUCACUCACAGAAGAAGCACCGGCUAACUCCGUGCCAGCAGCCGCGGUAAUACGGAGGGUGCGAGCGUUAAUCGGAAUUACUGGGCGUAAAGCGCGCGUAGGUGGCUUGAUAAGCCGGUUGUGAAAGCCCCGGGCUCAACCUGGGAACGGCAUCCGGAACUGUCAAGCUAGAGUGCAGGAGAGGAAGGUAGAAUUCCCGGUGUAGCGGUGAAAUGCGUAGAGAUCGGGAGGAAUACCAGUGGCGAAGGCGGCCUUCUGGACUGACACUGACACUGAGGUGCGAAAGCGUGGGUAGCAAACAGGAUUAGAUACCCUGGUAGUC